AAAUUUUUGGUGUAGUUUCCAUGGCAACAUGAUAGUUCCAAUGAUUGCCAAAAUCAUCCAAAACCAGUAUAUGCCUGGCACCUACAUUGUUUUAAAAUAUAAUGAUUCUAAGUUAAAGCAACUCCAAAUAAUUCAUUAAAACCAUAAACUGGAAUUUUUCACAAUUGUUCCGUUUCCAUGGUAACGGCAGCCAUUUUUAUGGUCUUAAGACCUACUGCAACCCGGAAUUUUGUGUUCCUCAUUAUAGUUAACUAGCAUUAAGAUUGGUUCCAUUGGCUCCGAGAAAACUGCCGGACAAAAUAGGUGGAAGAAAAAUAAUAAUAAUACAGAAAAAGAAACAGAGGAAAAGCAAUAUGUCACCCGACAUUGUCGAUCGGGUGACAUAAUAAUAAGUAAAAAAAGAAACGUAGAAUAACAAUACGUCACCCCAACUCCGUUGAGGGUGCCAUAACAAAAAGAAACGUAGAAUAACAAUAUGUCACCCAAACUCCGUUUAGGGUGCCAUAAUAAUGAUAAUAAAAGACAAAACAAA
rnacentral:lncRNA from 1 species